AACGAACGCUGGCGGCAUGCCUAACACAUGCAAGUCGAACGAUGGCUUCGGCCAUAGUGGCGCACGGGUGAGUAACACGUGGGAACCUGCCUUUCGGUUCGGAAUAACGUUUGGAAACGAACGCUAACACCGGAUACGCCCUUUUGGGGAAAGUUUACGCCGAGAGAGGGGCCCGCGUCCGAUUAGGUAGUUGGUGGGGUAACGGCCUACCAAGCCGACGAUCGGUAGCUGGUCUGAGAGGAUGAUCAGCCACACUGGGACUGAGACACGGCCCAGACUCCUACGGGAGGCAGCAGUGGGGAAUAUUGAACAAUGGGCGCAAGCCUGAUCCAGCAAUGCCGCGUGAGUGAUGAAGGCCUUAGGGUUGUAAAGCUCUUUCGCACGCGACGAUGAUGACGGUAGCGUGAGAAGAAGCCCCGGCUAACUUCGUGCCAGCAGCCGCGGUAAAAC
rnacentral:rRNA from 1 species